UACGGAAGGCGCAGUGGGGAAUAUUGCACAAUGGGCGCAAGCCUGAUGCAGCCAUGCCGCGUGUAUGAAGAAGGCCUUCGGGUUGUAAAGUACUUUCAGUCGUGAGGAAGGUGUUAAGGUUAAUAACCUUAGCAAUUGACGUUAGCGACAGAAGAAGCACCGGCUAACUCCGUGCCAGCAGCCGCGGUAAUACGGAGGGUGCGAGCGUUAAUCGGAAUUACUGGGCGUAAAGGGCACGCAGGCGGUUAAUUAAGUUGGAUGUGAAAUCCCCGGGCUAACCUGGGAAUGGCAUUCAAGACUGGUUAGCUAGAGUCUUGUAGAGGGGGUAGAAUUCCAUGUGUAGCGGUGAAAUGCGUAGAGAUGUGGAGGAAUACCGGUGGCGAAGGCGGCCCCUGGACAAAGACUGACGCUCAUGUGCGAAAGCGUGGGGAGCAAACAGGGAUUAGAUACC
rnacentral:rRNA from 1 species